GCAGUCGUGGCCGAGUGGUUAAGGAUUAGAAAUCCAUUGGGGUCUCCCCGCACAGGUUCGAAUCCUGUCGACUGCG
rnacentral:tRNA from 2 species